rnacentral:misc_RNA from 1 species
UUUCCGUAGGUGAACCUGCGGAGGGAUCAUUACAGAGUUCAUGCCCUACCGGGUAGAUCUCCCACCCUAUGUUAUUAUUACUUUGUUGCUUUUGCGGGCCGUUAGGCUUCGGCCCGACUACCGGGCCCGGCUGGUAGGGGCCUGCCAGAGGAACCAAAACCCUGUAUAUUAGUGUCGUCUGAGUACUAUAUAAUAGUUAAAACUUUCAACAACGGAUCUCUUGGCUCUC